UCAAUAGCAGAACAAAAUUAUAUGGUUUUUGUCUUAAGAAUAAGUUAAAAUAGGAAGAUUUUUACAACAGAUUUUAAAACUCAACUUCCUUCAAGGGUGACCAUCUUUGACGUUUUCUUUUCAGAUGCCUGAAAAUAUUUUUGCAAAAGAGAAGAGGAUCUCUUAUGCUACCUCAGGAAAACUGUCACUGCUUUUCUCUUGUCCUCUAAUUCAGUACCACAGAUCAGCAACUACUCUGAGGAAGAAAGCAAUUAAAGGAGGAAUUCAGUGCCAAGCCAUGAGUACACGCAGCCCUGUGAAAAGAUCAAGUAGUGAGAAACUGAGUCCUUCUACCAAUAGUCAGUGAGAAAUUGAGGUAUCCUGUCAACAGUCACAUGAGUGAGUCAUUUUGAAAUGGAUUUUCCAUCGCCAGUCAAGCCUAUGGAUGACUGAAGUCUGAGCUUAUAGCAUGACUGCAAACUCUUGAGACUCAAAGCCAUAAUCAUUCAGUUAAGCUGCUUCUGCAUUCUUGACCGUCAACCACUGUGUGGGAUAAUAAAGGAACUGCCGUACUGUUUUCCAUAGAAGCUACACCAUUUUAAAUUUCCACCAACAGUGAACAAGGAUUCAGUUAAUGUACUUCCUCAUCAACACCUGUUAAUUUUUGUUUUCUUGAUAAGAUCCAUCCUGCUGGGUAUAAGGUGAUAUCUCAUUAUGGUUUUGAUUUGCUUUUCUCUGAUGAUUUGUGACGUUAAGCAUCUUUUCAAAUGUCUGUUGGCUAUUUAUAUAUCCUCUUUAGAGAAAUGUCUUUUCAAGUUUUUUUGUCCAUUUGUUAUUCAGGUUUUGUUGUUGUUGCUGCUGUUGUGUUGUAAGAGUUUUUUUAAAUGUAUUCUUGUUAUUACUUCCUUAUCAGAUCUAUAAUUUGAAAAUAUUUUCUCUUAUUCCACAGGUGUCUUUCACUCUGUUAAUUGUAUCCAUUGAUGUGCAAAGUUUUCAGUUUUGCUCUGUAUAGUCCAAUUUAUAUGUUUUUACUUUUGUUGCCCGUAAAAUUAGUGUUGUCUUAAGACACUAAAUUUUGGGUAAAAUGAUUACACAGAAAUAGCAAACAGAGGAGGCUAUUAUUUUAUUUAUCUAUAUUAAUGAUAUAAUUUGGCUCUGUGUCCUCACCCGAAUCUCAUCUUGAAAUGUAAUCCCACAUGUCGAGGGAGGGGCCUGAUGGGAGGUAAUUGGAUCACGGAGGCGGUUUCACUCAUGCUGUUCUCGUGAAAGUGAGUGAGUUCUCAUGUUAUCUGAUGGUUUCAAAGUGUGUCACUUCCCCCUUUCUCUCUCCUGCCAUCAUGUAAGACGUGCUUUGCUUCCACUUCACUUUCCGCCAUGAUCAUUAAGUUUCCUGAGGCCUCCCCACCCAUGUAGAAUUGUGAGUCAAUUAAACCUCUUUUCUUCUUAAAAUUACCCAGUUCUGGUAGUUCUUUAUAGCAGUUUGAAAACAGACUAACACAACUAUUUUAUUUCAGAGACAGUUUCACCGCAUUGUUCAGGCUGUCCUUAAAUCCCUGGACUCAAGUGAUCCUCCUGCAUCACCCUCCUAAGUGGCUGGGACUGCAGAUAUGCGCCAGCACUCCCAGCUAUAGGAGGCAAAAAAAUGUUUUCUUUGAAUGCUUUGUAAUAAUCACUUUAAAAUUAUUAUUGAAAUAUACUUAAGAUGAUGCUGGACAUAAAUUGUGAGGAUAUAUCUUAUAAAAGCAGAUAACUGAAUUGGAGAAAUUAGUGAAAUAGUUGACAGUAUAAAGUGUAAAAUAGUGGAGAGAGAGUAAAAUCUAGAAAAGAUGGGAGUUGAAAAAUGUAUAAAAGAGCUUAAGAAUAUGUAGGACAAGAUGGGGAAAUGAUAACAUACUUGUAACUAGAGACCUUGAAGAG
rnacentral:lncRNA from 1 species